rnacentral:rRNA from 1 species
AUGAAUUGCCUAAGUUGGAACUGUCGGGGAGGGGGGAACACCCGGACAGUUCGCGAGCUAGCGACGUUGUUGAAGUCGCGUUCCCCCAUGGUUGUUUUUCUGUGUGAGACCAGACAAAAGGAUGACAAGAUGAAGAGGAUCCGAGCCAAAUUGGGGCUCAAGGGGUUUUGUGGUGUGGAUAGCAAUGGUCUUAGUGGUGGAUUGGCGCUCUUUUGGAGGGAAGAUUGUGUGGUUAAAGUUUUGGACAAGGACGACAGAUACAUUGAUACUGUUAUCCAAGUUCGUCAAGGAGCGGCGGAGUGGAGAGCUACCUUUGUUUAUGGGGAGCCACGGGUGGAGCACAGACAUCUAAUG